GACGUAGGGCGCGAGCGUCGUCCGGAUUUAUUGGGCGUAAAGAGCUCGUAGGCGGCUCGGUAAGUCGGGUGUGAAACCUCCAGGCUCAACCUGGAGACGCCACCUGAUACUGCUGUGGCUAGAGUCCGGUAGGGGAGUGUGGAACUCCUGGUGUAGCGGUGAAAUACGCAGAUAUCAGGAAGAACACCAGCGGCGAAGGCGGCACUCUGGGCCGGAACUGACGCUGAGGAGCGAAAGCGUGGGUAGCAAACAGG
rnacentral:rRNA from 1 species